AGAGAAGCCCCUGCUAAGGAGUAUUUUCUUAAGUCUUUAAAUGAUCCCUUUAGUUGUGGGGAAGACAAGCCAUUGAAAAAGUCAUAAAGUCUCCACUUUCUGUCUCUUGACACCAAAGUCUGAAUUUGGAAAGGGACUUGGGAAAAUAUGCCUGCAAUAGCUAUAGAGAUACAAUUCUUCUCAAGGUUAUUCUAUACAGAUAGCCCUGGCACUAUUAAACCAAAGGGAUACCCCAAUGGCUACAAACUUAAUUCUAUUCUCUUAUUGCAGCUCCAAACACAGAAGGAUUUUGUUUCUUUUUAGGAAUAGUUACUUACUGGUAAUCUAUUGCUUUAGGAAUAGUUAUUUACUGGUAAUCUAGUGCUUAAGCUUUAAGCAGUUCCUCUAGUUUGGUAUGGAUGAAUUAAAAGUUCCAUGUGACCAGAAAUAUUUGGGAGGACUCUAAUUCUGAAUUCUAUUGUCAGUUCUCACUUUCAUAAAACAUGUGGCAAUGUUAUGAUGCUCCCACGGGCAUAUGCCUGCAUGGAGAUCUAGAAAUAUGUUCUAAUUGUGACUCAGCCAAACUUUUCAAUUGAAUAGAUCAGUAUGUUUGUACAAGGGCUAUUUAAUUGUCACUUUACCAACCAUUUUUUUCCUCUUAGCAAAUUAUUUUAUUCUUUUAAAAUUCUUUAAAAUUCUUUGUCAUUAUUUAUUUAUUUAUUUUUUAGGGUCACACCUGCAGCAUAUGAAGUUCCCAGGCUAGGGGUCUAAUCAGAGCUGCAGCUGCUGGCCUACACCACAGCAAUGCCUAAGCCAUGUCUGAGACCUACACCACAGCUCAUGGCAAUGCUGGAUCCUUAACCCACUGAACAAGGCCAGGGAUCAAACCUGCAUCCUCAUGGAUACUAGUAGGCUUGAAACCUGCUGAGUCACAAUGGGAACUCCCAUUAUCUUUUUUUUUUUUUUUUUUCCAUUGAAUAAGUGGGAAGGACAGGAGAGCUGGUUGGUCUUUUGUCUCGCCAAUGGAAAUAAGGAAAAGUGAAAUAAUUAAUGAACAAAUUAAUAACUAGCUAGCUUGAGACCAGGACCACAUAGUUAAGAGCUACAAAGCCCUGAAGGUAAGGAAAACAAUGAUCAUUCUCCUUGUACCACAGAGAGUAGGAGCAUGACAGCCCAGACAGGACACUCCUUCCAGUGACCUGGAUGGUGUCCCAGGUCCCUCCAUUCUGACCUUUUCAAGGUUCUUUCUUAGGAGUUGUUUACCUGGCCUCUUCCUGAGCUGUAGUUUAAAUAACUAGCCAAAGGAUACCGAUGGCCUGAAGAGGACAACAGAUAAAACCAGCAUGUUUUCAUGUCUUCAAGAGAAUGUAAGGCUGCCGAGAAACAUCUGAUGCGCUGUGCCAAUACCUGAGACCUAUGCGAAGUUCUUUAUAUACUUGGUUAACCCUUACUGACACCUGGACAAUAUGCUACAUUUACCUCACACAGUUAUUACUAAUACCAGCUGCUUAUAUGGACAAAGGAACAGGGAGCCUUUUUCCACUAAGAACCUACAUAGGUGGGAUAGAAUUUACACCCCCCUCCCCCACAGUCCAGGCUUCCGUUCUGGAACUGAGUGGUAGAUCACUGGCCAAUCUCCCCUGACCUAAUCCCCCAAACUCCAGCAUACCAGCACCACUUUCUGCCUGGAGACUCUGAGACCCACUCUUUGCAUCCCCUUUAUAGCUGUUGAUGUCACUGCAGGAAACUCACAGUUCUCAGGUCACACCUCCCCCUCCCCACUCCAUUCUGGAUUUAUCACUGCACGUCUUUCAUGCUCCUGUCACCCACGGCUAUUGCAGAUGGCACCAUGAAUCCCUUGCACACACAGUAGUUCACUUCUGGUGUUUUCUUGCCUGGAAAAAGCACAACUCUGGUUAAACCUGAGUCUCUGCCUAGUUCAUACCUGCCUUACUGCACCUAAAGGCACUCACACAGGAGUACUGAGCAAGGGCAAGGUCACCUUAUCACCAUCCUUCUGGAGUGUAAGCAAAUACAUUCUCUGAGUGCCCUUCAUUUCCCACUUGUCGGAAAGUGCCUGGUGCCUGCCUUCGCUCUAAAAUUCCAAAUACCAACAUCUGCAGAGCCACAGUGCACUGCCUUUCAGAAUUUUCACCAAACAAGUGCCCUGGGGGCAGUGAAAGCCUCACCUGUGAGGUGCCAUCACAUCAUCCAAGAGGAAGGGGCACUCCUUAGGGGUGUCACCAAGGCCAUCUCCAUGCCACCAACAAUUUUCAAACACUCAUCUCCAGCCUGGACCAUGCUCUGGACACAUGGAUUCCCUUCUCCAAUGACCUCCUCAAAUUGUUUCAAGUGCCUAGAAGGAGUUCAAGUUCCUGUGUAUAAAAAGCAAAUUCCUAAUACCUCUGCCCACAUUUAGGCUUCUGCCACCUGCCCACCCCCACCUCAUUCACACAGCCCCAUCCUUCCCCUGGCUCAGGCAGGACGCUGUGGAGUCAUUCCUGGUCCUCUGCUUUCUCUCACAACCCACACCUUCAUGAGCAAUUCCUGAAGAGUCUGAUCACCCUCCCCACUUCACUGGGGUGGAGGUCCAAGCUGCCGUCUCCCCCAAACCAGGUUAUUAGAGUAGCCUCUGAAUCAGUAUCCCUAUUCCCAUCAGCAAAAUUUCCUAUCAAAACAGCCAGGGUGAUAUUGCUAAAAACAAGUCAUGUCAAGUCACCCUUCUGUUCAAACCUUUUGAUUUUCCUUCUCUCUCCAAAUAAGCACAAUAUGCUGACAAUGACCCCAUGGGUUCCACGAUCUGCCACCCCUGCACAGCAUUAGGACAGCCAGGUCUCCAGGAUCCUCACUCAGCUCAGGUCCAGCCAGGAGUCUUGUGUGCUUCCUUGUCUCAGCUCAAGACACCCUCCCACCAGAGUCUCCACAUGUGCUCUUCCCUGGGCCUGAGAUGGUUCCCCAAAAGCUGUAGGACUACUCAAAGGUCACUUCCUCAAACUGAAUACACCCUGCUGCUCCACUUAGUUCCCAUGGCAUGCGUCACCUUAUAACUAUACUUUGUCAUACAACAGACCUGUAGCAUAUAUGUAGUCACAUCCACCAAGUGAUAGACUUAGCUUGUCCUCCUCCCAUCCUUUUCUCAGGUCCUACAACACAUUUCACCAUUUUUACUGCAUUUCCCUCCAUUGCUAGUGAGAUAGAAUAUUUUGAUACACUUCUUACAUUUCUUUCUGAGAAUGCUUGAUUUUAAGUUGCUGUUCACUGAUAUGCCAGAUAUAAAUCUAUUUCAGACAUACACAGUGAGAGGAAGAAAUGACACAUCAUCACCACCAAGCAAGCAUGGGAACAGCUCUGCAUCCAGGUUACUCACUGCAUAAAACAGGAGAUUGUACCACUGAGGGCAGCCAGCGCCAUCUUCACAGGAGCAUCACGCAUACACUACCAGACUAGGGGGUUUGAUGUGGGAGGAGGGGAGAUAGAAACUUGCCAGGUUUCUAUGUCAACAACCAGUUUUGCUUACUUUUGUGUUUUUAUUCAACUUGCUAAUAUAAUUUAGUAUCAGUACUGUUUGAAGGGCAAUAAGUUUGUUACCUAGUUUAAGGUAAUAGGUACUCUCAGGGAUGGUUACUCAAGCAAAAAAGUGGGGUGGUUAUAAUUCAUCAUCCAAAUAUGAUAAAAUUACAAAAGUGAUACAUAACUAUGGGGAGCAGCAUGCAAGUGUACAUAGGAUAAAAGGGAGACGUCUCUUCAUUACUCAGCUAUAAGCAUAAUCCCUAGAUACACUGACAUUUAACAGUUGUUAUCCUUCCAAAUCACAUACAUUUUAUAAAUAUGCCUAUCAAAAUAGAAGACUAUACUCAUUUUUUCACAAUUUGAUCUUACAGGUUUUUUUUUUUCCUAGAAGGGCAGGAAAAAAAUUGGUCAUAUACAUCCCUCUUGAGCAAACCUAAUAGGAUACUAAAACUAAAUUAUUUCCUGAACUUACUAGUCAUUCUACCUUUAUACAACCUCAGUUUUAUGCUUGGCUCUGUAGCACCCAUUGCAUGGAGAUAGAAUCACUCUUGUGGAUGCCUCUUUAUUCCCCAACUGUGCACCCAACACCAGAGAGAACAUUGAUACACAUAUCUUUGCAUGUUUGCAAGUAUUCUUGUAACAUCAUUUCUUAGAGCUGGAAUUAAUGGGUUGAUGCCUAAGGAAAAUGUGAAUUUUCAAAGGCACUGCCAGAUAACACUCUACAAAGUCUAAUUUCUCAGCAUCUCGUAAGAGCCUGUGUUUCAUGAAACCUAUUCCAAAAGUUAUAUAAAUUAUAGAUGUGUAUGUGUGUAUACUAAAAACAAAAACCAAAAAAUUGAAAAUAGAUACUAUUUUAUCUAAAACUCAUUAAAACUAUAUGUAUAUUUAAUCUUUAUUACUUGAACAUUAGCAAAAUGGUAACCAUUAUUUAAUCUGUACAUCAUUCAUAUUUCCUUCUCUGCUAAUAACCUAUUCUUAUUCUUUGACAAGGUAUUUAUUUACAUAUCAAAUGACUCAAGCAAUUCAGGAUUGCAUUUGUAUCAUGAAACAAAAAAGUUUUAAGACUUCACCCCUUGUUCCAAAGCUGCUUCUUCCAAAGAGCUUGGCUUUCUGUUUUCUAGUAUUUUUAAAUGCAUAUAUAAUGCUUUACAUGGAUCUCUAAAAUGUAAACUAUUGCUUUGCAUUUUUGAACAAAUUCUCUUAUUGAAUAUAUUAAAUUAUUCUAUUUCAAUCUACAUAAAUCUAUUUUCUUUAUAUUAAUAUGCAGUAUUUAAUAUGUAUAUAUUGAAUUUUAUUUAAUAAUUGUCCUAUUAGACAUUUAGAAUGUUCCAAAUUUUUAUUAUAAUAAAUGAUGUUUCACUGAGCAUCUUUUUGUUUGCCUUUGGUGCAAAAGGAUAAAUAUUUUUCUAGAAUGAAAUACCAGGGAACUAAAGUAAUGAGUAAUAGGGGAUACAUUUUAGUAGUCAAUAACAAAUAACCUCCCAAAAUAGCUGCACUGAGUUAAACUCCUACUGGAAGUUUUUGAAAAACAUAUCCUUCAGUUGAUAUAAACAUGACUCCUUUUUCUGAUGUAGUCCAUAAAAAUGUCUUGCCAUUCUUUUACCUUGCAUUUCCCUGAAUUACUAGUGAGGUUGAAUGUCUUUUGAUCUGUAUAACCAUUUAUAAUGCCCUUCUGGUAAGACUCAAUUUUUAUUUUUUCUUACUAUUUUAGCUUAUUGAUUGGUAGAAACUCUUUAUAUAUUGGAGUAUUAAUCUUCAAAUUCAUAUUUUAUGAUGCAAAUAUUUUUCUCACUCAAAUGUGCCUCUUAAUUUUACAGCCUUUUCAUGUAAAGGUCAAUCAUUUUCAUGUAGGCAAAAUUGUCUUUUAGGUUAUUGCUUCUAAAGUCUACUCUUUAGUAUUUGAGACACUUGGUCCAAUGGCAGAAAGAGAAAAGAGAUUAAGUAUCAGUGCGAUUGAUGUGAAAUGUGAAGAUUUUGAUUGCAAGUGAUUGAACCAAGAACUUCCUUCUCAAAGAAAUCAGCUAUCCCUUUGAGAAUAAAGAAAAUACACUGCCACAUGCAAAUUUCUGAAAAACACAGCCCAAGUUUUACCCUCUUCUAUCUGCUUGCCUGGGCUGUAUUCUAUAAAAUGUGGAUGCAGUCACUGGGGUGGUCAAUACAUUACCUUAGAACAAAUUAUAUUGCUAUUCUAAAGUAAAAUUUGCUAAAGGUCAACUCUGCUUUUUUCUUUUUGUCUUUCUUAUUUAUUCCUUUGCUCAUUUCAUGCUGUUCCUACCCAUGGUAGAUGCUCAGCUAAAUUAGAAUAGUUAAUGUCACUCUGAGAUGGCAAACUCUAUCCUGCCUUUUU
rnacentral:lncRNA from 1 species